rnacentral:rRNA from 1 species
AGAGUUUGAUCCUGGCUCAGAAUGAACGCUGGCGGCAGGCCUAACACAUGCAAGUCGAACGGGCACUUCGGUGCUAGUGGCGGACGGGUGAGUAACGCGUGGGAACAUACCCCUCGGUUCGGAAUAGCCUCGGGAAACUGGGAGUAAUACCGGAUACGGACUAUGGUCGAAAGAUUUAUCGCCGAGGGAUUGGCCCGCGUUGGAUUAGGUAGUUGGUGGGGUAAUGGCCUACCAAGCCGACGAUCCAUAGCUGGUUUGAGAGGAUGAUCAGCCACACUGGGACUGAGACACGGCCCAGACUCCUACGGGAGGCAGCAGUGGGGAAUCUUAGACAAUGGGGGGAACCCUGAUCUAGCCAUGCCGCGUGAUCGAUGAAGGCCUUAGGGUUGUAAAGAUCUUUCAGAUGGGAAGAUAAUGACGGUACCAUCAGAAGAGCCCCCAAUUCCCCA